UACGGGGGGAGCAAGCGUUGUUCGGAUUUACUGGGCGUAAAGGGCGCGUAGGCGGCCUGUGCAGGUGAGUUGUGAAAUCUCCGAGCUUAACUCGGAACGGUCAACUGAUACUGCUCGGCUAGAGUGCGGAAGGGGCAACUGGAAUUCUUGGUGUAGCGGUGAAAUGCGUAGAUAUCAAGAGGAACACCUGCGGCGAAGGCGGGUUGCUGGGCCGACACUGACGCUGAGGCGCGAAGGCCAGGGGAGCAAACGGG
rnacentral:rRNA from 1 species